rnacentral:rRNA from 1 species
UACGUAGGGUGCAAGCGUUAUCCGGAUUUAUUGGGCGUAAAGGGAACGCAGGCGGUCUUUUAAGUCUGAUGUGAAAGCCUUCGGCUUAACCGGAGUAGUGCAUUGGAAACUGGGAGACUUGAGUGCAGAAGAGGAGAGUGGAACUCCAUGUGUAGCGGUGAAAUGCGUAGAUAUAUGGAAGAACACCAGUGGCGAAAGCGGCUCUCUGGUCUGUAACUGACGCUGAGGUUCGAAAGCGUGGGUAGCAAAUAGG